GCCAUAUCAUGUUAAAAAUACCGAUUCUCAUCCGAUCACCGAAGUUAAGCAACGUCGACUCUAGUUAGAACGGAGAUGGGUGUCCACUUGGGAAUAACAGCUGCUGUAA